UACGAAGGGGGCUAGCGUUGCUCGGAAUCACUGGGCGUAAAGCGCACGUAGGCGGAUUGCUAAGUCAGGGGUGAAAUCCUGGAGCUCAACUCCAGAACUGCCCUUGAUACUGGCGGUCUCGAGUCCGGGAGAGGUGAGUGGAACUGCGAGUGUAGAGGUGAAAUUCGUAGAUAUUCGCAAGAACACCAGUGGCGAAGGCGGCGCGCCGGCCCGGUACUGACGCUGAGGUGCGAAAGCGUGGGGAGCAAACAGG
rnacentral:rRNA from 1 species